rnacentral:rRNA from 1 species
GUGAGGAAUAUUGCGCAAUGGAGGCAACUCUGACGCAGCCAUGCCGCGUGCAGGAAGAAGGCGCUACGCGUUGUAAACUGCUUUUAACCGGGAAGAAACCCCAGGACGUGUCCUGGGUUGACGGUACCGGAGGAAUAAGCACCGGCUAACUUCGUGCCAGCAGCCGCGGUAAUACGAAGGGUGCAAGCGUUAUCCGGAUUCAUUGGGUUUAAAGGGUGCGUAGGCGGAGCGUUAAGUCAGUGGUGAAAUCCUGCAGCUUAACUGUAGACUUGCCAUUGAUACUGGCGCUCUUGAGUGCGCUUGAAGUGGGCGGAAUGUGCCGUGUAGCGGUGAAAUGCUUAGAUAUGGCACAGAACACCAAUUGCGAAGGCAGCUCACUAAUGCGAUACUGACGCUGAGGCACGAAAGCGUGGGGAUCGAACAGGAUUAGAUACCCUAGUAGUCC